UGGAGAAAGAGAGCUACCCUCUGAGAGAUGGGGCAUUUUUAGUUUCUUUCUCCUGUUUGUUAUAAGAGAAUCAGAUGCGCCUUGGGACUCUAUAAAAAGUACUAAAAUCAAGAUGUGACAGCGUGUUCUGACAACGGUAGUCUGAGAACGAUGUGCUUCUUAUUAAAGAUGAAACUGGAUUGAAGAAGUCAGCAGGGUUCUGCUCAUGAUGCUUUCUAAAGAAGAUACCUGUGAAGAAUGAGGCAGUAGCAGUAAGUGAUUGCGUGAACGGCAAAAUAAUG